UUCUGAUAAAGUUUUUAGUUUCACAUCUUUUAUGUUUUCACGAAACACAGGGAGGUUUGAACAAGAGUCAUUUAACAGAGAAUAAAAUUUAAAUAAUUUAAAAACACAGUCUGUGUGUAGAGAUUACAGUUUACGCCAACAGAUGGAGACACAGCACAUGUAUAAAAAAAGGAAGUUGGAUGGAUUAAUGCCUGCACAAACACACACACGCACGCACGCACGCACACACAGACAGACAGAGACUCUUUAACCUGAGCUUCACUCCUCCUCCCCUCAGUGUUGGUCUAACAAUGUCUACAUCCACACAGACGUUUGUCCUCUUGGUCUCUUUCUACUGUCAGGUGAGCGCUGUCACAUUUCAACAGUCCCCUCCUCAGUUAGUGAAGGAGAACACCAGGAUCAAGAUCAACUGCAGUCACAGUGACAGCACCCUUUUGCAGAUGCUGUGGUACCAGCAGCUACAGGACAGUCUGUCCAUGACCCUCAUUGGGUUUACAUAUAGUGAAAACUCACCCACCUACGAGGGUUCCUCAGAGGAACAGUUCCAGCUGACCAAAGAAGACACAUUAUCGGGAUCUCUGAUUAUUCUCAGUGCCAGCCUGUCGCACUCAGCAGUGUAUUUCUGCGCUGCCAGCACACAGUGAUGUGCUUCCACGUCACUCCCUCUCAAAAAAUCUGCUUUGUGAAGCACUUGCAGAAAGGCCACACACACAAUUUUAAACAACAAAAAGUGGAUAAAACUGCAAAUGUAAGCAAAGUAUUUGUGAGGCUAAAUGUACCUGUACACCACAAUUUGAUGACUUUUACGUCAAGCCUUGUAAGUGAUAUUUGACUGAACUCUACUAAUACUGUUUGAUCCAUAGCUGUUAUUUAUAUAUAUAAAAAAAUCAAAUCAAAUCAAAUCAAAUAAAUAAAAAUCAAGAAGCAUUUUCUACUCUGUUGGGGAUUGUAAAUAACAUCUAGAUAAAUAA